CUUUCUGCAAGCUUGCUUUCUUCUCCCUUGAAGUCAGCUAAAUUGUGUCGGCACUCCAUGGCUGCGGGCUGAGCCGGCCCGGGGCUGAUGACAUGAUGCAGGAACAGCCCUGGAACAGCACUGGUGUAGAUUGACCUCAGUUGACCUGGAAAUGCCAAUCCAUCAGAGAAAAUAGUGCGUGCCUCUGACAGCAAAUAACGGUAUUUUCUUCCGAGAGCUGAUGCAACCAUGCCAGAGCCUUGCACGAGGAAAUGAGGAACUGUGGGUGUGCUUUUCAUGGGCCACGAGAGGAGGUGAAGCAACCUGCUUUGAAGAGUGGAAAGGAGCGCUUUGCCUAGUUUGGAAGACUGGUGACAUGAAAGGUAGAUACUUCUGGGCUGUCAGAGGAAGGAAGCUCAGUUAUUUCAGAGCGUGCGCCCUCAGUGAACUGCUGUACAAACAACCCAUCUGGAGCUUGAUCCUGGAUUGAACCUGCUCUGUAACCCAAGGAAACUAAAAGGCUUUUUUGGAUGCCCUUGGAAAUUUCCUGAGCUUGACACACCUCUUCACAACACAACAGGUUUCGCAGAUCUGUUAUCACAGAUGUUCUUAACCUAAAUAUAUGGAUAUCCAAAAAUAGGUACUGUUUAAAAUAUGUAUAAACUUCCUUUAUUUAUGUCUAACACUGAUUGCAUUUUGCUACCAGGUUUCAAGCAUCUGUAAGUGGUAACUGCAGACCUUCCUGUACACCCCUGCUGCUCUGCCAUGACUUCCAGGGCGGCAGGAUAGCUGAGGCCUGCUUUUUGUUCCACAUGUAAAUGUUUUGUAAAGACAGGUGGUGAUUGUAUUUGGAAGGAUUUCCCAUUUUAAGCUGGGUUUAUUCUGAUACUGUCCACAAUGAAUUUACAUUGGCUGCGACAUGACCUUCAUAAAGGUAGUAUCUAGCCUAAGGCUUUACAGGUGAAGAGUUACUAGUCAGGAGAAAUGGUCUGCAAACACAGAACUUUGCAAUAGUUUAUCCUCUUUUCCUCACCUUUAUGUGUGAUAGGAAUGACAAGGCACGACUUGGGCAGUCUGUGAAGUUCUCUGUCUAUCACGUUGUGAGUGCACACUUGAGCACUGGGCUGCUAGAACUUCAGCUGUGUAUUUCUGUGGAUGUUCCUGGUUACCCCUUCCUCCCUGCCUGUUUCUCUUUAUGUGAACUGCUGUCAUGUCUUGUGCAAGGACUCUGCAGUUGUUUUCCUGAAAUUAUGGCAGGGUUGUUGCCUGAAUAUAAUCUGUAGUCAAGGGAAUAUGGUGAAUGUCCUCAUCUAUCAGCACCACAUAUUGGUUUUGGUUUGACGACUUCUUUCUUCUUCUGUAUCUAACAUAAAAAGCAGGACUCAUCUCAUCUAACUUCAGAUGGUUGUAGGCAGGUUUCCAGUGUAAGCUAGUGGUUGAGAACUUUCAGUGUAUAGAGAGUGGUAUCUCCAGCUAGUGGCCCAAUCUGGAUAGAGGGACUUCUUCUUACUGACAUUACGUACAAUUCUAAUUAUUAACGUAGUCAGAAUUGAAACUCAGCAGAGUGGUGCAAACACACAGAUUUCAGUAGGAGUUCUGCGUUAAUUGUGCAGAUAGGACCUUCCAUCCGUAGGUCCUAUAAGAAGAUGGACAAAUAAAAGAAAAAUAAUAUUUGAUCUGGUUAGCUUAAUUCUGAGAUUUUAGUGCAGAAAGAAGAGAGGAAACUCGAGGCACUCACCAGAUCAGAUGUUACUGCCCUCAUUUGUUAACAUGCCUCCUCAAAUGGAAUUAAUGAAACCUUCCAUUAUAGAUCAAUACGCUCUUUGACUAGAGAAUAUUAUGGGUACCUAUUGUAUAUGCUUAAUUAGAUUGAAAUUGCUUUCACAUUUCCUUUAUAUCCAAAAAAAACCCUGAUCUCAGCAGUUUGAAAAAGGG
rnacentral:lncRNA from 1 species